rnacentral:miRNA from 1 species
GGAGAAUCGCUUGAGCCUGGGAGGUGGAGGUUGCAGUGAGCUGAGAUCACGCCACUGCACUCCAGCCUGGGCAACAGAG